rnacentral:rRNA from 1 species
UGGGGAAUAUUGCACAAUGGGCGAAAGCCUGAUGCAGCGACGCCGCGUGCGGGAUGAAGGCCUUCGGGUUGUAAACCGCUUUUAAUUGGGAGCAAGCGAGANUGAGUGUACCUUUUGAAUAAGCACUGGCUAACUACGUGCCAGCAGCCGCGGUAAUACGUAGGGUGCAAGCGUUAUCCGGAAUUAUUGGGCGUAAAGAGCUCGUAGGCGGUUUGUCACGCCUGGUGUGAAAAGUCCAUCGCUUAACGGUGGAUCUGCGCCGGGUACGGGCAGGCUAGAGUGCAGUAGGGGAGAUUGGAAUUCCCGGUGUAACGGUGGAAUGUGUAGAUAUCGGAAGAACACCAAUGGCGAAGGCAGAUCUCUGGGCUGUUACUGACGCUGAGGAGCGAAAGCAUGGGGAGCGAACAGGAUUAGAUACC